rnacentral:lncRNA from 1 species
GUCGACUUUCCAGGCGAUUACUCUAUAAAAUCCGAGGCUGGCCAGAAGUAUCUUGUCAGGCUUUCUCGGACUGCUGAAAUUCCUGGAAAAUGGAGGCUUUACUUAGUUGAAUCAGGAAGGCGCCGGCUAUGGGGAAAAAAAAAGUCAAGUUUUCAGACGGGACCCUUUGCUUGCAAUAACAUUAAGUUGGGUAGCAGGUGCUGGGCAAGUGGCUGUACGAUUCCUUAUGCCGAAAAGCUGAUUAAUGUUAAGCAACUGCUGACCUGACGGUUCAGGAAGUUUUGCUGAGCUUCUUAUGAAAGCUUGCCUACAGCCAGGUCCUAUGAAGGCAUUUUCUCAAUUGAGGUUUCCUCUUUUCAGAAAUAAAGCCUGUUUGAAGGUCAGAGAAUGGAGCUUGCCACUAGCUGACCAUAGAGGUCUGGAGACAGACAGAAAGUGAGAUACCUAGGUGGAAACAGGAUAUAAGCAGGGAGAAAUAGGAACUUACUUUCUUGUCUGCUGAGACACUAAGGAGGUAAGGUGUGCCAUGGCUUGCUCCUUUUCUCUUAUCUCUCAGCAUUUUCCAGGUUAUUUCUGACUCCAGGUUAUUAUCUAUACCAAUUAAG